AUCACUUCUGAACCUUUUAGCUAGAUAAGUGUAGUAUCCAUUCUUAUCAGUUUAAUAUCUGAUAUAUCCUCUAUUAAGGACAAGUUAUCAAAUGGAUUUGGAGCAGGGAGAUGAAAUAAGAGCUUGCUCUACCCUCUCCAUAUAUCCCCCUGGUAUUGCAGUCUUCCAGGAACAGUGUAUCCCCU
ensembl:snRNA U2 U2 spliceosomal RNA